GAUGAACGCUGGCGGCGUGCCUAAUACAUGCAAGUCGAGCGAACGGACGAGAAGCUUGCUUCUCUGAUGUUAGCGGCGGACGGGUGAGUAACACGUGGAUAACCUACCUAUAAGACUGGGAUAACUUCGGGAAACCGUAGCUAAUACCGGAUAAUAUUUUGAACCGCAUGGUUCAAAAGUGAAAGACGGUCUUGCUGUCACUUAUAGAUGGAUCCGCGCUGCAUUAGCUAGUUGGUAAGGUAACGGCUUACCAAGGCAACGAUGCAUAGCCGACCUGAGAGGGUGAUCGGCCACACUGGAACUGAGACACGGUCCAGACUCCUACGGGAGGCAGCAGUAGGGAAUCUGCCGCAAUGGGCGAAAGCCUGACGGAGCAACGCCGCGUGAGUGAUGAAGGUCUUCGGAUCGUAAAACUCUGUUAUUAGGGAAGAACAUAUGUGUAAGUAACUGUGCACAUCUUGACGGUACCUAAGCAGAAAGCCACGGCUAACUACGU
rnacentral:rRNA from 1 species